CCCUUAGAUGUCCUGGGCCGCACGCGCGCUACACUGAUGCAUUCAACGAGUUUUACCUUGGCCGAGAGGCCUGGGCAAUCUUUUAAACCUGCAUCGUGAUAGGGAUAGAUUAUUGCAAUUUUUAAUCUUGAACGAGGAAUUCCUAGUAAACGCAAAUCAUCAAUUUGCAUUGAUUACGUCCCUGCCCUUUGUACACACCGCCCGUCGCACCUACCGAUUGAAUGGUCCGGUGAAGCCUCGGGAUUGUGGCCAGUUCACUUUAUUGGGAGUUGGCUGUGAGAACUUGUCUAAACCUUAUCAUUUAGAGGAAGGUGAANUCGUAACA
rnacentral:rRNA from 1 species